rnacentral:rRNA from 1 species
AUACGUAGGUGGCAAGCGUUGUCCGGAUUUACUGGGCGUAAAGGAUGCGUAGGCGGAUGUUUAAGUGAGAUGUGAAAUCCCUAAGCUUAACUUAGGUGCUGCAUUUCAAACUGGAUGUCUAGAGUGCAGGAGAGGAGAAUGGAAUUCCUAGUGUAGCGGUGAAAUGCGUAGAGAUUAGGAAGAACACCAGUGGCGAAGGCGAUUCUCUGGACUGUAACUGACGCUGAGGCAUGAGAGCGUGGGUAGCAAGCAGGAUUAGAUACCCUGGUAGUCCACGCCGUAAACGAUGAGUACUAGGUGUAGGAGGUCUAAGCCUUCUGUGCCGCAGUUAACACAAUAAGUACUCCGCCUGGGAAGUACGAUCGCAAGAUUAAA